GCCCUGCAGAGCCGAGUGCCACAAAGCCCUCAGGAAAAGCAGAGCCUGCAGGAAUCCCAGGUGUUAACACGCAAUAAAAGCUGCCACGCUUGGCUGAGCCCGGCCCAGGCAGGCCUGACCUAAUGCAGAGCUGGUGGAGGUGGCAGGUAGCUGGGCCUGAAAAUGCAGGGCUAAGUAGAAGAAUUGGCACCUCUCGCUCAUGGCUGUUGGCUGGAGACCUCCAAAAGCAGAAUUUCCAGUGGUGGAUGAGAAGCGAGCUCUCACUUGGAGGAAACUGGAGCAGCUCUGCUUCCAGACCUGGAGAGCUCUGUGUGGGUGGAUUCCCUGGGCCGGGGGUGCUCAGUGCAAGAUCCCACACUCUGUAACUCAGCCGAGGGAGUGAACAGGGAAAGUCUCUGCCCCCGCAUCCAGCCUGCACAGUUAUAUAAGACUUGAACUACAUCCCCCUCUCCUCGCGGCCGCUCACAACGCGCUGGAGCCGCGGCCAGAUGCAGAAAGGUUCCGUCAGGAAAGUUUAACUCAGCGGGGAAGCUGCAGCCAGUGGAGGACACGAUUCUCUCGCUGAACUCUCCAAAAGCCUUGGAAAUCUUACAGUUGUGUCAUAUGCUGGUUUGGGGAAUGCUAGUCCGGAGGCAGCCGCCAGCCCUCUUUCACUUCUUUAUUUAUUUAUUUCUUUUUUUUUUUUUCGCGUUGCACUGAGUUUAAUUUGGGUAGCAGGAUUCAGCAGUUUUAAGUUGGAAAAAACUUAGUGGAAGAAGAUAUUUUAGGAAAAGCCUGUCAUGUGAACUAGCGGGAGCCGAUCAAACCGGGCUAUUAAAAGAAAGACAUUGUAUUUUUAAACGGUGCAGCCCAGGGCAGCCAACCUGCGUGCCCGGAGCCGCGGGCCGGGGCUGCUCCCCCGCGGCAGCUCCGCGUGGGAGGAGGCCGAGCUUUCCGUCGGGGUGGCCCGUUCUCCGCUCGCUCCCUCCGGGAUCCCCUUGGCCCCG